AGUGAACGCUGGCGGUAGGCCUAACACAUGCAAGUCGAACGGCAGCACAGUAAGAGCUUGCUCUUACGGGUGGCGAGUGGCGGACGGGUGAGGAAUACAUCGGAAUCUACUUUUUCGUGGGGGAUAACGUAGGGAAACUUACGCUAAUACCGCAUACGUCCUACGGGUGAAAGCAGGGGAUCUUCGGACCUUUCGCGAUUGAAUGAGCCGAUGUCGGAUUAGCUAGUUGGCGGGGUAAAGGCCCACCAAGGCGACGAUCCGUAGCUGGUCUGAGAGGAUGAUCAGCCACACUGGAACUGAGACACGGUCCAGACUCCUACGGGAGGCAGCAGUAGGGAAUAUUGGACAAUGGGCGCAAGCCUGAUCCAGCCAUACCGCGUGGGUGAAGAAGGCCUUCGGGUUGUAAAGCCCUUUUGUUGGGAAAGAAAAGCAGCAGGUUAAUACCCCGCUGUUCUGACGGUACCCAAAGAAUAAGCACCGGCUAACUUCGUG
rnacentral:rRNA from 1 species